CCAUCAUAUACGCUACCGGCAUCUCAAGAGUAUGCCACUGGAUUGUUCCGGUGACGAUGUCCGAUCAAAGAGACACCAUCUGCUCAGUGUGUGUGAAGGGUGUUCGAGAAUUUGUUUUUAUUUUUUUAGGCUCACUCUCUCAGGGGUCAUCUUGUAUGAUUCCACAAGGGUUGUUUAGCUGUUGGUUUUCAACAGCCAUCGAGGUACAACCCUAAAUCUAUUGCUAUUCUUCCAUCCAUAAAAAAAAGAAAGAAGGAAAGUUCGAUAACUUGAUAUUAUAUUGUCACAUUUUCUUGGAACUCUUUAAGAAAAAAUACCCUUUCAAAGUUUCAAUACUCUCUGUGAUUUUACUACGUAUUGAAUGGAAAGAUGUGGAGUUGUUCUUGAUUUGUCACUAAAUGAACACACUCAAUUUGACAGACUUUCGUAAACGCCCUCACUGGCCAUUUUCAUUUACAUGGUGUAGACUUUUUGACUUUGUUUGUUUCUUAAAAUUGGAAGAUAAUACCAUGUAAGAGAAUGGAGAAUUAUAUGGUUUUUCUUUUCUGAUUUUGUUAAUGUUUUGAGGAUCAGUAGAGGUGGGCUGCUGAGAACAUCAUAGCUAAGUGACUAACGAUGGCAAGUCGUGCUUUCACACAGUUUCAAUCGUUUAGACUAAUUGCACCUGCGAAUUUUUGUGUUGCUUGCAAAAAAGGCAGCGACCGGUGAGGCUCUUCAAUGAAUUCUUAUGUUCCCUUGUUUGCUGCUUCUGAUGAUGAGGGCAUAUGCUUUAUUCCCUUCUGAUGACGUGAGCAUAUGGUUUAAAGAGGCGAUGAUGAUUUUUGCCAAUUUUAUUCCCUUCUGAGCUGAUUAUUUGGGCAUUUGAGGUUAUCCGACCUGUAUCUUGGCGGGUCAUGCCACCAGAUUUUCUGGUGAUUUUUGCAGCCAUGGCGUUGUUGGACUCUCUUUUUGCCUGAGCUUCACACAGAUCUGAGCCUAACUUUCUCUGUCAGUUUAGGGAAACUAACCGGUUGGGAAAAUGAAUAAAGAAAAAUCUCAAAAGGGAAAGAAUAAGGCUACAGAUAGUUGAUGAUUUUUCAUUGAAUGGGUGAUUGCUUCUCUCUGUAUUCAGCCAAUGAUUUCUGCAUUACUGUAAGAAUCCCAACUAUCCUUCUAUCAAUUUUAUUGCAGGGAGUAUAUUAUUAACAGCUUGCUUGGUUUGUUGUUAUAUAUCGUCAAAGGGUUUCUAUACCCUUCCACCUUUUUUUUCUUUAUUUUAAUGCUUCCGCCAGAGCAUUGAAUGUUGCCCGUGGAUCUGGUGGAAGCGAUGAGGGUGAUUAUAAUCAGACGGCUUGAAAGAGGUGAUGAUGAUUUAUGUCAAUUUUUAUUCCCUUCUGAGCUGAUUAGUCGGGCAUUUGACGUUAUCCAACCCGUAUCUUGGCGGGGCAUGCCACCAGAUUUUCUGGUGGUUUUUGCAGCCAUGGCGUGGUUAGACUCGCUUUUUGCCUGAGCUUAAGCACAGAUCUGAGCCUCAAUUUACUGGACUCCAUUACUGUAAGAAACCCUAUAACCCUUUUGUCAAUUUUAACGGACGGAGUAUUCUAACAUCUUCAGGGUACUAUAUUAACAAAAGUUCUGGGAAAUGAAUAAAGCAAAAGCGCAUAAGCGAAAGAAUGAGGCUACAGGGAUCUGAGGGUUUUGUUCCAAUGGUGGUUGCCUCUCACUGAAUCAACCAAUGAUUUCUCCAUUAUUGUCUCCUUUUUUGUACCUGAUUUGAUGCACUUGAGCCGAGGGUCUUUCGAAAAUAACCUCUCUGCCUCCACGAGGUGUAGUGGAGUUACAUUCUUAGAAGUUGGUCUAUCUAAUAUUCUACCACCCAAACAACUGAUGUGCAACAUCUUCGAGACCCGGUGGUGGAGAAAUUCAAUCCAUUUAUGGAAUGCAGACUUAUCAAGAUAAAAGCCAGGAGGAGUUGAGGUUUGAGGACUACCAUAAAGGUCAGAAUUGUGGUUCUUCAUUUAGUGUUUCCGGCACACAGGGAUUUGGUGUCAUCGACAACACGAGGCCUUUCAAAUCACCAGUAUUUAACCAAUCAACUGUUGAUCAACCUUUUUAUUUCCAUUUUCCGAGUACAUUUGCAGUGGAAAGAACAGGGCAUGACACUAUCAAAUGAAAAUUCUACAGCAACUGCAUCUACCCCAUUUCCGAAGUCACAGCAGUCCAUUUCCCAUAUAUUUCUCCCCAAUACAUCAUUGUUAAACUCCUGUGGCACUGGAAGUAGAGUGUAAUCCAAUGCCUCAGAUGUUUCUUUUUCUCUGUGGAUCCAUUCAGGUCCGUUUGCACCUUUAAAACCAGCUUCCAAUUCUUCCACUACCUCCACCUUUCCUCCAUUAAGGAAUCCAUGGUCUUUAUCAUCAUCUGCCUCUCUAUCUCCAUGUUCAGUCUCACCUUCCACAUAUCCUUUGUUAGCCAAAACCAUCCGCCCAUGUUUUUGAUCAAAAGAACUCUUUUUCUCCCAUUCCUGUUUUAACUACAGGAGGCGCUCCACAAUCCACUUCAUGCUUGAAUUGCCUAAAGCAGUCUCAGCCUACUCCACCAGGACUUUGUAAUGUUUCAAGCACUCCACUUGCUGCGAGUCAAAAUACUCCUCUGUUCUUUGGUCCUCUGCUUCCAUAAAUGAUUCCUAAAGUUGGAGCAACACUUCCAACAACCAACGCUUCUCACCCAUCAACUGGUACUUAGUGCAGUGCUAGUUGCUCAAAGAUUGGACAAUGAGUUUGUCAGCCAAGUAUCAAUGACCAACAGUGAGUAUCAAACUUAACCAUCUAUUGUUUUACUUUACUGUGUCUGUUAUUAAAUGACUAAUUUUGACUUCUAGACUUUCCUGACAUUCUCUUUAUUUCCGCUGCCUCAGUUAUUACUUCACAGUCCCGUUUUAACCUGAUUGUUUUUUUUUUU